GAAAUGUUGAUCACAUGAUUGAUGCUUUUCAUUCAGAUCCUCAAAGUUCCUUAUUUCAGCGACCAGAGUCUGAUUUGAAUCCAUUUGGAUUGCCAGUUCUAAUUUCGCUGAUAGAGAGUUUAAGCAUUCUUCCGUUCAUUAAAGAGGAUACAAGAUGUAUUUAAACGUGUUGAUAAAAAAUCAAGACCGCCAAUAUCUGAAUGCUACUGAACAAGGACAUACCGCACAUAUUUAAACAUUUGAAAGCCACGAUGUACAGAUAUAUACCCUCAGUACCACGUCGUAAAUGUUGAUAGCAGCAGCAAAA